rnacentral:rRNA from 1 species
AGGGUUUGAUCAUGGCUCAGAGCGAACGCUGGCGGCACGCUUAACACAUGCAAGUCGAACGAAGGCCCGGAGCUUGCUCCGGAUACCUUAGUGGCGGACGGGUGAGUAACGCGUGGGAAUUUACCUUAUGGUGGGGAAUAACGUUUGGAAACGAACGCUAAUACCGCAUACGCCCUUCGGGGGAAAGGCUUCGGCCGCCGUUAGAGAAUCCCGCGUUCGAUUAGCUAGUUGGUGAGGUAAUGGCUCACCAAGGCGACGAUCGAUAGCUGGUCUGAGAGGAUGAUCAGCCACACUGGAACUGAGACACGGUCCAGACUCCUACGGGAGGCAGCAGUGGGGAAUAUUGGACAAUGGGGGAAACCCUGAUCCAGCGAUGCCGCGUGAGUGAAGAAGGCCCUAGGGUUGUAAAACUCUUUCACCCGUGAAGAUGAUGACGGUAGCGGGAGAAGAAGCUCCGGCUAACUCCGUGCCAGCAGCCGCGGUAAUACGGAGGGGGCUAGCGUUGCUCGGAAUUACUGGGCGUAAAGCGCGCGUAGGCGGCGAAUCCAGUCAGGCGUGAAAGCCCAGGGCUUAACCCUGGAAUUGCGUUUGAUACUGAUUUGCUAGAAUUCGAGAGAGGGUGG